UACGUAGGUGGCAAGCGUUGUCCGGAUUUAUUGGGUUUAAAGGGUGCGUAGGCGGUUCUUUAAGUCAGUGGUGAAAUACAGCCGCUUAACGGUUGAGGUGCCAUUGAUACUGGGGAACUUGAGUACAGACGAGGUAGGCGGAAUUGACGGUGUAGCGGUGAAAUGCAUAGAUAUCGUCAAGAACACCGAUAGCGAAGGCAGCUUACUAGACUGUAACUGACGCUGAUGCACGAAAGUGUGGGGAUCAAACAGG
rnacentral:rRNA from 1 species